GGCUUUAUAUUCAAUUAUGAUUUUAGAUUGCAAAUCUAAAGGUGUAGGUUUACUAAGGCUU
rnacentral:tRNA from 1 species